GCUGGGUUUGGUGGCUCAUUCCUGUGGAACCCAUUACUUGGGAGGCUGGGGCAGGAGUAUCGCUCGAGUCCAGGAGUUCUGGGCUGCAGUGUGCUACGCCAAGUGGGCGUCCCCACUAAGUUCAGCAUCAACGUCCUUGGAAUGGGGGAUGAGGUGGCCUAAGGAGGGGUGAACCAGCCCAGGUCAGAAAUGGAUCAGGUCAAAACUCCUGUGCUGAUCAGUGCUAGGAUCGCACCUGUGAAUAGCCACUGCACUGCAGCCUGGGCAACAAAGUGAGACCCUGUCUCU
rnacentral:SRP_RNA from 1 species